AUUGAACGCUGGCGGCAGGCCUAACACAUGCAAGUCGAACGGCAACAGGAAGAAGCCUGCUUCUUUGCUGACGAGUGGCGGACGGGUGAGUAAUGUCCGGGAAACUGUCUGAUGGCGGGGGAUAUCUACUGGAAACGGUUGCUAUAAUCGCAUAUAGUCCCUACACCUGAGAGGGGGACCUUUUGGCCCCUUGCCAUCGUAUGUGCCCAGAUGGGAUUAGCUAGUAGGUGGGGUAACGGCUCACCUAGGCGACGAUCCCUAGCUGGUCUGAGAGGAUGACCAGCCACACUGGAACUGAGACACGGUCCAGACUCCUACGGGAGGCAGCAGUGGGGAAUAUUGGACAAUGGGCGCAAGCCUGAUGCAGCCAUACCGCGUGUAUGAAGAAGGCCUUCGGGUUGUAAAGUACUUUCGGCGGGAAAGAAGAGAAUAAAGUUAAUACCUUGACUCAUUGACGUUACCCGAAGAAGAAGCACCGGCUAACUCCGUG
rnacentral:rRNA from 1 species